rnacentral:lncRNA from 1 species
UUGAAAAUGAGACUUGUUUCUUUAAUCAUAAGGAACUUUUCUCAUCCAAAAAAACUUCCAUUUCAUACUAUCACAUUACAAAUCUCCAUACAAAGAAAUUACAAAAAAAAUUGACUUUUGACCUAUAUUUGACUUUGGUCAACUGUUGACCAAAGUCAACUCAUCUAAAUCCUUAAACCUACUGACAAGGUUCACUUUGCUUCUUCAUGUUCCCCAUAUUCGCUUUUAGCUUCAUGAUCAAAGAUUGCUUCACUUGCAAGUAGCCAUGUUCUUCAAGGUUAUUCAUGGUGGUUUUACUCCAAAUGUAUUGAGCUCAUGGCCAAUUUCCAGGCAUAAGUCAGCCAUGCAUUCAAGAUGUAUCCAAUGCAUCAUUUCACACAUUAAUCCAUCACAAUCCAAUGCAUCAUUAUUAAAAAUUCUAAGCCAAUGCAUUAUCACAACAUACAUACACAUACAUGUUAUCACAAGCAUAACAAUCAUCAAACAUUAUCAUUCACAUCACCUAGUAUCCUAACAGCUAGCAUUCAAUAACCAUCAUUCACAUUUAGUUCACAACACAUAGCAAAUGCAACAACAAUCAAACAUGUUCAUAACAGGCUACACACCAAACAACAAGACAUUCUGAAGUUAAAAUAACCAAACCGUUAUAUUUAGUUAGUGAACCAAACCAUAUUGCAUAAACAGUUCUAGAACUGAACUGAAGCUGAACAAAACUGAAACUGUCGAACCAAACCGAAAUUGAAAAUAAAAAAAAUACUAAAAAGACAUUUUCAUUUUAUUAUUUAAAAUUUUAAAAUAGUUUAACGGUUCAUUUCUUAAAUAAAUGGUUUGGUUUGGGAAAAAUUAACUUCUAAUGGUUCGGUAUUGGUUUGGAAUUUCAAAAUGAUAUACCAAACCAUAAUAAUGCUUCGGUUCGGUUCUGAGGUAAAUUGAAAUGGUUUGGUUUAGUUCAAGUAAAUUUUCACUAUGGUUUGGUUCGGUUCGGUUAGGUUUUCUCCCUGAACCAUACCUUGAACAGCCCUAGCAAUUGCAAAUAGUUCAAGGCAUUGCAAAUUAAAACCAACAGCAAAUCAUUUAGCUUACAAAAAGCCAGUUACAUUCACUAACAAAAUCUUAUCAUCCACGUUCAUACUUAACUGCAUCUAACUUCACUAAUCAGCAUAACACAAAAUCGAAACCAACCGUUCCCUAACAAAAGUUCAUAACUAACUCGAAAUUCACAGUUAACUCUAACAAAAAUCCAAAACUUCCAACAUAAACCAUAACAAAAUUUCACUAAUCCCUAAGCUCGCCUAACUACCUGCUCAAUUCAGUUAACGUUUCAUCCCUAUAAAUCUCACCAUCACCUUCAUUCAAAGGAUUUGAAUUCCAUUUUCACCAAAUUCAUGAUCAUUCCAAUCCAUUCGUCUUCUCACUCUCUCUCGAAACCAUACUCAGAACUCUUUCAACCCACGCCUUUAGUCCCUCACACCCUCAAUUCAAUCACACUCUUGAAUCUCAAAACAAAAAACACAAUAACAUAUCCCAACAAGAAGAAGGAGAAGAAGGAGAAGAAGAAUAUUUAGAAUUCAGAAGCAAGAAAAAGACUCAGAGCAAGAGUUUAUUGGAACCUCGUUGUCGUCUUCGUCUUCUCCGGCAAGGUGGGUCUCUAAUUCUCUCCAUUUUGCUUCGAACUCGUUAUUAUAAUGUGAGUUAAGAUGUGAGGAAUUAAAGCCCCAAUCCCUUGACCUUUGAUUCCUUAGGGUUAGCAUUUAAUUUAAGGUUUAGUAUUAGGGUUUUUCAAUAAAUCGAAUCGGUUAUAGCAUUAGCUUUGGAAUGGACUGAAAUUGAUUUCGGAUUCUAGUAGUGGAGAUUGAAACGAGUAUGAUGGUGUGUGAUUUUUGGUGGUUGGCCCUCCGCCGCCGCCGGAGGCGACCUCCAACGCGACGGAGGAGACGGCUCUCGAGUCAUAGCUUUUGAAAUGAAUUUAAGUUUGAGCGCGC